rnacentral:lncRNA from 1 species
CAAACACAAAAAAGUAAUACUGGUCUUAUUCAAAUCGUCUUUCAGAGACUGAUAUUCCAGUGCAAAAAUUAGAAACAAAAAAUUCAAGAUAAAAAAUUUAUGUGAUUUAUUGUGACUAGAACAAUUGUAAUAUUUUAAUAAUUAAUUUCUCUCUAAUGUAUCCAAUCUGACAAAAAAAAUUCAAAAAAUAAUAAAAUCGCAAAAAAAGUAUAUGUCAAAUCAUCAUUGACAAAUGUGC